UGACGAGUCCCAAACAGGACGAAACAACUGUC
rnacentral:hammerhead_ribozyme from 1 species